AGUGAACGCUGGCGGUAGGCCUAACACAUGCAAGUCGAACGGCAGCACAGUAAGAGCUUGCUCUUACGGGUGGCGAGUGGCGGACGGGUGAGGAAUACAUCGGAAUCUACUUUUUCGUGGGGGAUAACGUAGGGAAACUUACGCUAAUACCGCAUACGACCUACGGGUGAAAGCAGGGGAUCUUCGCACCUUGCGCGAUUGAAUGAGCCGAUGUCGGAUUAGCUAGUUGGCGGGGUAAAGGCCCACCAAGGCGACGAUCCGUAGCUGGUCUGAGAGGAUGAUCAGCCACACUGGAACUGAGACACGGUCCAGACUCCUACGGGAGGCAGCAGUGGGGAAUAUUGGACAAUGGGCGCAAGCCUGACCCAGCCAUACCGCGUGGGUGAAGAAGGCCUUCGGGUUGUAAAGCCCUUUUGUUGGGAAAGAAAAGCAGCAGGUUAAUACCCCGCUGUUCUGACGGUACCCAAAGAAUAAGCACCGGCUAACUUCGUG
rnacentral:rRNA from 1 species